GCCAGUGCAGAAGCCAUAGGAGACUGGGGCUCUAUCCCUGCGUCAGGAAUCUCCCCUGGAGGGGGAAAUGGCUACCCACUCCAGUAUUCUAUUCUUGCUUGGAGAAUCCCAUGGACAGAGGAGCCUGGCAGGCUACAGUCCAUGGGUUCGCACAGAGUUGGACACGACUGAG